rnacentral:rRNA from 1 species
AAAGGCCCUUCGGGGUACUCGAGUGGCGAACGGGUGAGUAACACGUGGGUGAUCUGCCCUGCACUUUGGGAUAAGCCUGGGAAACUGGGUCUAAUACCGAAUACACCUCAUGGGAUGCAUGUUUUGUGGGGGAAAGCUUUUGCGGUGUGGGAUGGGCCCGCGGCCUAUCAGCUUGUUGGUGAGGUUACGGCUCACCAAGGCGACGACGGGUAGCCGGCCUGAGAGGGUGUCCGGCCACACUGGGACUGAGAUACGGCCCAGACUCCUACGGGAGGCAGCAGUGGGGAAUAUUGCACAAUGGGCGCAAGCCUGAUGCAGCGACGCCGCGUGAGGGAUGACGGCCUUCGGGUUGUAAACCUCUUUCGCCAGGGACGAAGCGCGAGUGACGGUACCUGGAGAAGAAGCACCGGCCAACUACGUGCCA